rnacentral:ribozyme from 1 species
AGCAAAACCGCACUGAUAUGGGUAUGAAUCCGAAGCCUCUCGAAGGAUAAUAUAGGCACUCCAUACGCUAUUCCGACUCAAUACGUCCCCGUCGUACAGAAUGGUAACAUAUCUCUCCAAAAAUCUGUGCUUGGGUAUACGGGGAAACCCAACCCCUUGGGAAGAUGGGUUAUAUGACUAAAUUGAGCGCA